UACGUAGGGGGGCAAGCGUUGUCCGGAUUUAUUGGGCGUAAAGAGCGUGUAGGCGGCUUGACAAGUCUGCUGUGAAAACUCGAGGCUCAACCUCGAGCUGUCGGUGGAAACUGUCUGGCUAGAGUCCGGAAGAGGAGAGUGGAAUUCCUGGUGUAGCGGUGAAAUGCGCAGAUAUCAGGAAGAACACCUAUGGCGAAGGCAGCUCUCUGGGACGGUACUGACGCUGAGACGCGAAAGCGUGGGGAGCGAACAGG
rnacentral:rRNA from 1 species